GCCCACUGCGGUGUCAGACUGGGCUAUAUAUGCGCUAUUGAUUGUUCACAGUCAGUUACAGAUUGAUCUCCUUGUUCUACUCUUUCCCCCCUUCUCACUACUGCACUUGACUAGGCUUGC
rnacentral:sRNA from 1 species